rnacentral:rRNA from 1 species
UCGGACGGGUGAGUAACGCGUGGGUAACCUGCCAUAUACAGGGGGAUAACACUUAGAAAUAGGUGCUAAUACCGCAUAAGCGCACAUGGCCGCAUGGCCAGGUGUGAAAAACUCCGGUGGUAUAUGAUGGACCCGCGUCUGAUUAGCUAGUUGGUGAGGUAACGGCCCACCAAGGCGACGAUCAGUAGCCGGCCUGAGAGGGUGGACGGCCACAUUGGGACUGAGACACGGCCCAAACUCCUACGGGAGGCAGCAG